GUUGACGGGGCCGCACAAGCGGUGGAGCAUGUGGUUAAUUCGAAGCAACGCGAAGAACCUUACCAGGUCUUGACAUCCCUGACAACCAAGAGAUUGGGCGUUCCCCUCGGGGGACAGGGUGACAGGUGGUGCAUGGUUGUCGUCAGCUCGUGUCGUGAGAUGUUGGGUUAAGUCCCGCAACGAGCGCAACCCUCGCCUCUAGUUGCCAGCAUUCGGUUGGGCACUCUAGAGGGACUGCCGGCGACAAGUCGGAGGAAGGUGGGGAUGACGUCAAAUCAUCAUGCCCCUUAUGACCUGGGCUACACACGUGCUACAAUGGGCGGUACAAAGGGCUGCGAACCCGCGAGGGGGAGCGAAUCCCAAAAAGCCGCUCUCAGUUCGGAUUGCAGGCUGCAACUCGCCUGCAUGAAGCCGGAAUCGCUAGUAAUCGCGGAUCAGCAUGCCGCGGUGAAUACGUUCCCGGGCCUU
rnacentral:rRNA from 1 species